UUGAACGCUGGCGGAAUGCUUUACACAUGCAAGUCGAGCGGCAGCGCGGGGCAACCUGGCGGCGAGCGGCGAACGGGUGAGUAAUAUAUCGGAACGUACCCUGUCGUGGGGGAUAACACAUCGAAAGAUGUGCUAAUACCGCAUACGACCUGAGGGUGAAAGCGGGGGAUCGCAAGAACUCGCGCGAUAGGAGCGGCCGAUAUCGGAUUAGCUAGUUGGUGAGGUAAAGGCUCACCAAGGCGACGAUCCGUAGCUGGUCUGAGAGGACGACCAGCCACACGGGAACUGAGACAAGGUCCAGACUCCUACGGGAGGCAGCAGGGGGGAAUUUUGGACAAUGGGGGAAACCCUGAUCCAGCCAUUCCGCGUGAGUGAAGAAGGCCCUCGGGUUGUAAAGCCCUUUCGGCAGGAACGAAACGGUGGUCCUUAAUACGGGCUACUAAUGACGGUACCUGAAGAAGAAGCACCGGCUAACUACGU
rnacentral:rRNA from 1 species